rnacentral:rRNA from 1 species
GGACUACAAGGGUAUCUAAUCCUGUUUGCUACCCACGCUUUCGUGCCUCAGCGUCAGUUAUGGUCUAGCAAGCCGUCUACACCGCCGGUGUUCCUCCUGAUAUCUACGCAUUUCACCGCUACACCAGGAAUUCCGCUUGCCUUUCCCACACUCCAGCAUCGCAGUUUUCGGCGCACCCUCCCAGUUAAGCCGGGAGAUUUCACGCCAAACUUUCGACACCGCCUACGCACUCUUUACGCCCAGUAACUCCGAACAACGCUUGCUGCCUACGUAUUACCGCGGCGGCUGGCAC